rnacentral:rRNA from 1 species
UACGGAGGGUGCAAACGUUGUUCGGAAUUACUGGGCGUAAAGCGUGUGUAGGCGGUCCACUAAGUCGGGUGUGAAAGCCCUGGGCUCAACCCAGGAAGUGCACUCGAAACUGGCGGGCUAGAGUAUCGGAGAGGUUGGUGGAAUUCUCGGUGUGAGAGGUGAAAUUCGUAGAUAUCGAGAGGAACACCGGUGGCGAAGGCGGCCAACUGGACGAAUACUGACGCUGAGACACGAAAGCGUGGGGAGCAAACAGG